UACGUAGGUGGCGAGCGUUGUCCGGAUUUACUGGGCGUAAAGUGAGCGUAGGCGGACUUUUAAGUGAGAUGUGAAAUACUCGGGCUCAACCUGAGUGCUGCAUUUCAAACUGGAAGUCUAGAGUGCAGGAGAGGAGAAUGGAAUUCCUAGUGUAGCGGUGAAAUGCGUAGAGAUUAGGAAGAACACCAGUGGCGAAGGCGAUUCUCUGGACUGUAACUGACGCUGAGGCUCGAAAGCGUGGGGAGCAAACAGG
rnacentral:rRNA from 1 species